rnacentral:tRNA from 1 species
GGGAAGUAGCUCAGCUUGGUAGAGCACUUGGUUUGGGACCAAGGGGUCGCAGGUUCGAAUCCUGUCUUCCCG